GAUGAACGCUGGCGGCGUGCCUAAUACAUGCAAGUCGAGCGAACAGAUGAGGAGCUUGCUCCUCUGACGUUAGCGGCGGACGGGUGAGUAACACGUGGAUAACCUACCUAUAAGACUGGGAUAACUUCGGGAAACCGGAGCUAAUACCGGAUAAUAUAUUGAACCGCAUGGUUCAAUAGUGAAAGACGGUUUUGCUGUCACUUAUAGAUGGAUCCGCGCCGCAUUAGCUAGUUGGUAAGGUAACGGCUUACCAAGGCAACGAUGCGUAGCCGACCUGAGAGGGUGAUCGGCCACACUGGAACUGAGACACGGUCCAGACUCCUACGGGAGGCAGCAGUAGGGAAUCGUCCGCAAAGGGCGAAAGCCUGACGGAGCAACGCCGCGUGAGUGAUGAAGGUCUUCGGAUCGUAAAGCUCUGUUAUUAGGGAAGAACAAAUGUGUAAGUAACUAUGCACGUCUUGACGGUACCUAAUCAGAAAGCCACGGCUAACUACGUG
rnacentral:rRNA from 1 species